GAUCCUGGCUCAGAUUGAACGCUGGCGGCAGGCUUAACACAUGCAAGUCGAACGGUAACAUAAAGAAGCUUGCUUCUUUGAUGACGAGUGGCGGACGGGUGAGUAAUGCUUGGGAAUCUAGCUUAUGGAGGGGGAUAACUACGGGAAACCGUAGCUAAUACCGCGUAAUAUCGAGAGAUUAAAGUGUGGGACCUUCGGGCCACAUGCCAUAGGAUGAGCCCAAGUGGGAUUAGGUAGUUGGUGAAGGG
rnacentral:rRNA from 1 species